UUAAACAUGCAGUCGAACGGUGAAGCCCAGCUUGCUGGGUGGAUCAGUGGCGAACGGGUGAGUAACACGUGAGCAACCUGCCCCCUACUUCGGGAUAAGCCUUGGAAACGAGGUCUAAUACCGGAUAUGAGCACUUACCGCAUGGUGGGUGUUGGAAAGUUUUUCGGUGGGGGAUGGGCUCGCGGCCUAUCAGCUUGUUGGUGGGGUAAUGGCCUACCAAGGCGUCGACGGGUAGCCGGCCUGAGAGGGCGACCGGCCACACUGGGACUGAGACACGGCCCAGACUCCUACGGGAGGCAGCAGUGGGGAAUAUUGCACAAUGGGCGAAAGCCUGAUGCAGCGACGCCACGUGAGGGAUGACGGCCUUCGGGUUGUAAACCUCUUUCAGCAGGGAAGAAGCGAAAGUGACGGUACCUGCAGAAGAAGCGCCGGCUAACUACGUGCCAGCAGCCGCGGUAAUACGUAGGGCGCAAGCGUUGUCCGGAAUUAUUGGGCGUAAAGAGCUCGUAGGCGGUCUGUCGCGUCUGGUGUGAAAUCCCAUGGCUCAACUGUGGGCUUGCAUCGGGUACGGGCAGACUAGAGUGCUGUAGGGGAGACUGGAAUUCCUGGUGUAGCGGUGGAAUGCGCAGAUAUCAGGAGGAACACCGAUGGCGAAGGCAGGUCUCUGGGCAGUUACUGACGCUGAGGAGCGAAAGCAUGGGGAGCGAACAGGAUUAGAUACCCUGGUAGUCCAUGCCGUAAACGUUGGGCACUAGGUGUGGGGCGGGUUCCACUCGUUCUGUGCCGCAGCUAACGCAUUAAGUGCCCCGCCUGGGGAGUACGGCCGCAAGGCUAAAACUCAAAGGAAUUGACGGGGGCCCGCACAAGCGGCGGAGCAUGCGGAUUAAUUCGAUGCAACGCGAAGAACCUUACCAAGGCUUGACAUGUAC
rnacentral:rRNA from 1 species